rnacentral:lncRNA from 1 species
ACCAAACCCAAAAGACUGACCCAGCCCACACCCCUUUAAUACUCUCUUCUCCAAUACAGCAAACAACAACAUUUAAUAUCAACAAAACCAAAUCAUUAACUCCCUUUGCCCUUUCUUUUCCCCAUCAAUAUCAAUAAUUUCAACAAAAACAACAACCAACCACGCUUUCAAACAUCACAACGUACAAAAUCAGUCAACAAUAGCUGCAACAACAACUCAACAACAAUGAUCAAAUCGUACCAAUUUUAUCCCAAAAUUCAAAAUUUCAAAAUCUUUUCCAAAAAUUCAAAAAUACCCUCCUCUGUUCCCCUCAAAAUUGGUCCAUAAAUACCCAAGAAAAAGAGUGAAGGAGGGGGGAUCUCUUUGGAGAAUUCUUAAGAGAAAAAAAAAAAGGAACUUUUUGGAGAGGAUUUUAAGGAAAAAAUUGGGGAUUAUGGAGGCGCAUGCUUCUAAUCCCACAUAACUGAAAAUUUUUGAAGAACACAUCCGAAAAACUUGAUUCCGGCGAACAAAAGCAUCGGUGAAGGCUUCGUCGUAAUAGACUCUUCUGUCCUGGUUCCUGCCCCAAAAAGGUAAAUAACUCAGUUCUUUUUUUUUUUGUUUACACUUUUUCCUCUGCUCGGCGUGCGAAUGCGAUAUUAUAAACUAUAGUUGAAUAUUCUGCUCUUCCUGUUAUUGUGGGAUUUGUAUAAUUUAUGUCUACCUUAAUAAUGAAUUAAUAAAUUAAUAAAUAAAGGCUAAUAAUCGAGUGUUAUUAAUUUUGGGGAAAACGGAAAGGAGUUGAGGGAGAAAAAGGAAUUGCAGGACGUGGUCAUAUGGGUACAUGAUUUUUGUUAAUUUUUUUUUUUUUAAUCUUUUCCUUACUUCUUGUUUAGGAAAGAAAUUAUUAUUCUCUAAAUUAAUCAUGUAUCAUUAUAAUUAUUAUUAUUUUAAAAAAGGAAUGAUUUUCCUGAUUGUUAGUUGGAUUUUACAGUAUUUAUUUAUUUAAGGUAAAAUAAUUUUUAAUUGUCACUUAAUUUGUUUGUCUAUUUAUUGUCUCCUUUUAUAUGUUGUUUCGGGUUACUAGAAUACUAAUCCCUUUUACUUACUUCAAACAAAUUGAUUCUAGAGUUGGUAGUGAAUAUGUAUGAAUAAUAAAUUUUUUCACAUUGCUUUUUUGACUAGUUAUGUUUGUACUAUUUGAAUAAAGUCUUAUCUUUAUAUUUUUUUUUGAUGCAUGUGACACCGACUUGAAUCCAAUUGGACUUCUUCGCCCCAGCACUUCUUAGAGACCAAAGUCCCGAAAAUGGACUAAAUCCAACCAAUCAUUUAAUGUAUAUGAACAGUAAAGAAAAAUUUUCAGUAAGAUGCACAGACUACAAAUAUACAAAUAACAAAAAACUGAUGAAGAAAUUGAAGAAUGUGAAAAUAUUAAUUUUAUGAAUAUAUAAAUAUUAGAAGAAGACUUUGAAGUAAAUAAAGCUAUAAUAAAAGCAGAAGUGCUAUAUGAAAUAAAUAGCAAUAGUGCAUUUAAAUGUACAGGUUGUAAAUUAGGGAAUUUAAAACUUGAAGAAAUAAAAGAACAUUUUAUAAAAUGUGAAUUAAGAAUAGAUAAUUAUAGUUAAACGCGUAAACAGGAACUAAAAGGUGAAGACGAAGAAUCAAAUUAUAGUAUAGAAGAAAGUAUAAAGGAAUUUAUGGAAAGCACAACAAGUUUCUCAAGCCCUUUCCAAAGAGCAACCGAUAUACAAAACGUACCAUUAACAACAGGAAAGUUACCAAGGCAUAGAGUAUUUAGAACAAACCCAAACACUCUAAUAGAACAAGACAUAAAACCUAGAGGAAAAAGAAUGCCAAUAGAAAAACCCAUUAGAUUACAAAAAGGAAGUAAUAAAGGAAAAAUUUUAAACUUGCCAGCCCAUGACCCUCAGGCAUGGAAUCAUGUCAUAGACAUAUGAAAAAAUGUAGUUGUAGCAGACUACAUACAACAUAUACAGGGUAAUCAAGAACCAAAUGCAGAAAUUAUGUAUAGAUAUUUAUAAACAUUUCUAGGAGAAAGUAUUAAAGCACUUUGGGAAGCUUAUAAAAUAAUAUUCCCACAAGACUUUCAAGAAUUAGUAGAACUAGGCUCAAAUUCAUACAAUUUUGUAAAUAAGGUACAUACUCUACUAACAUGCCAAGAUCUCAAUAGUGGAUUAGUAGUAUUACAACAAAGAGCUUUAAUAAAUUUAGAACAAUUAAGUAUUAAUCAUUGGUCAAAAAUUAAAGAAUUUUUAAAUGAUUACUUUUAUUAUUGUACAAUUAGUGGAAACACAUUUGAUCAGACUCUAGGAGCUAGAUUAUUUAAUAAAUUACCAGGAGCUUUAGAAAGAGAGAUAGAAGAAAAAUGGUCUAAAAGAGAAGGUUUAAUACAAACAAACAACCCAUGGUCAAUAGGACAAAGAAUACAACAUGUAAUGAAUGUAUUACAAGAAAAAUGUACAAAUAUACAGAUAUAAAAAUAAUUAAAAUGAAGUGAUACAGAUUUUUGUAAGACCAUAUAUACUACUCAACACUAUGACCAAGAUUAUAAAAAGAAAAAAUAUUUGAUAAAUAUAGAUGAAUAUAUGUCAGAUAAUGAAAGUAUAUACUCUAUCAGAAGUAUGGAAGUUUUUGAAUAAGAAAAGGAUAAUUCUGAUUCUCCAGACUCUGGAGAAAACGGAUUUAUAAAUGAAAUAGGACUAGAAAGAACAAAUACAGACUAUCACUUAGUCAAUAACACAGACUAUCACUUAGUCACAGACUAUUAUGAUUUAGUAAAUCUGAUAGAAGAACGUGAACACAAAUUUGAAGAAGGAAAAAGAUUAGACAGUUAUCAAUGUUGUUUUUGUAAAUGGUUUCCAAGUAAAAACAAAAGGGCAAAAUGUAGGAAAUGUUACAAGGAAGCAUGCAUAAAAUGUAUAGAGAAAGCAUCAGAAAUCUUAGAAACUUCGAAAUCAACCCGUAAUUUAAAUAAAUUUUACAACAAGGAACCAAUAACAAGAACAACAAAAGAUCGAAUAUUAGAAUUAGAAGAAAGACUAAAAAGACUAGAGAUAAGAAUAUACAGUAAAGAUAUAAUUAAGGAAGAUGACUUAGUAGAGGUAGAAUUAUUUAAUACAUCUGUUAGAAAUAAUAAAGUUAAAAAUUGAUGAAUGUACCAUUUGAAGGAAUGGUAUGUAAUGAAGAAAAGAAAAUUAGUACAGUCAAGGUUUUAGCGAGAAUAAAAAUUCAAGACCAUGAGUUCGAGACUUUAGCUGUAGUUGAUUUAGGAUGUACAAAGAGCAUUUUAAAUAGUAGAAUUUUACCAGCAAAAUUAAUUAAAAAAUUGCCAAAACCUCAAGAAUCCAUGCAAAUGGAUGGGACAUAUAAUACCUAUACAGACUAUAUACCAAAAGCAAAAAUAAAUUUUAUUAAUACAUGUGAAAAAUUCUACCAACUAUCAUAUACACUUAGUGAAAUACUAGUUAGAGAUUUGGAUAAAAGUUUUAAUUUAUUUUGUUAAGAUAGCACAUUAUUUGUUAGACUGCUUUGGGUAAAAGUUUUAAUUUAUUUUGUUGGAAUAAUUGUAUUUCUUUAUCUACGUCUAUUACUUCUUCUAACUGUUGUCUUGAAGUCAUUCUUGGUUUAUUUAUUAUUUUUGAUAGCACAUUAUUUGUUAAACUGUUUUGGGUAAAACUUGAUCUUUGUCUUGUAAAACUUGAUCUUUUUCUACUUGGGAAUGCUGAAAAAAGGUCCAUGGUUUUGGCUUAGUUGGUAUAGUUAUUUUAGCUUCUUUUAAUUCUUUUUGAGGGGUUAUUUCUAUCCUUUUUAGUUGUUAUAUUAAUUCUUCUAUAUUUUUAUCUUGAUUGUCUUUUUCUAAGGUUUCCUUUUCUAGUUUUAGUAGUAGUUAUUGGAGAUGGUAGAAUAAAAUUGCAACCACACAUAGAUAAAAAAAAGUCUUAGAAAUGUCAAAUAAAUUAGACAAGACUAAAGAUUUACAAAAAAUUUUAGGACUCUUAAAUUAUGCUAGAGCUUUCAUCAAAGAUUUAGAAAAAGUAGCAGGACCACUAUACUCUAAAAUAGGAUCAAUUUGCCCAAGACCCAAAUGCAAACGAUAAUUCAGGAAUGGAGUUUGACUCAGAGGCUUUACAUAAUUUGGACACGUAAGCAGUGACAAUAUCUACAAAAGACAAAAUAGCAGACGUAAGAAAUAUUAGAUAAAUAAAUGAACGGAGGAGAAUUAAAGAAAGAUAUUUGCCGCCGGGCCCACCCAAGUUGAUAAAUCUUGCUAAAGUCUUUACAAAGGAUUUGAAAUCCACAAAAAAGUAAGAUUUGAAGUCCAAAAAUGCCUAUAAAUACUCCCUUUAUGGAAGACAAAAACAUGUACCAAAGAGAGAAAAAAAUCAAGAGUGAGAAAGUAUUCAUAAAGUUCUUAGCUUUUCUUAAAGUUCUUAGUUUCCAAAGUUUGUAAGUUACUUCAAAAAAAAAAAAAAAGAGGAGUGUGUGAAAAGUGUGAAAAGUUUUCUUAGUUCUUCAUUUUUCGGUGGCUAUCAAGUUUUCAGGGGACUCACGAAAGGGAAACCUCACUUCUUCAUUAAGGCAUGUAAGUAGUAGUUACAUAGGUCUAAAUGCAAACGACAUGACCAGCCAUUCAAAAUGUCCUUCUGGACAUAUGAAAGUUGUCUAUUCUAUACUAUUUUCAUGCAUUUUAAUCUGCCAAUAUCCAGAUUUACAAUCAAAUUUACUAAAUACUUUUCUUCCUUGUAUUCUAUUUAUCAAUUCUGUUUUGUCUAGUAACUUAUAUCCAUCAAUUACAGUAUUAUCAUUUAGUCUUUUGUAAUUUAUUACCAUUCUAGUUUUUCCUCUCACUAUUUCACUAUGGUUUCUUACUAUGAAAGCUGCUGACCUAUAUCUUGACGUAGAUCUUCUAAUUAUUCCUAAUUAUAGUAGCUUUUUUAUUUGUAUUUCAAAGUCUUUAAGGUCUUCAUUUGUAGUUUCUAUAGAUGUUGUUUUUAUAGUAUAUUCUGGAUUAAUUAUUUCUAAUUUGCAGGUAAUUUGAUUGGAGUCCCAAUGUUGCAAGGAUUUUUCUCCAAUUAUUUCUAGCUUAUCUAGGAUUUGUAUUAUUUUUUCUAAGUCUAUUUGAUCUUUUAUUACUCCUAUCUGUUGUAUACCUCUCUUAAAAUUGUAUAAUUCUAUAUUUAUUUCUAUUAAAGUAUAGUCUUUUUCUAUUUCUUCUACUACUAAUAAAUCUUGUAAUUCUUCAUA